AGCUCUGCUAGCGUAUAUUAAAGUUGUUGCAGUUAAAAAGCUCGUAGUUGAAUUUCUGGUAGGAGUGAUUGGUCCAUCACAACGUGUUGGAACCUGAUUGUCUCCAGCCAUCCUUAGAAAGAGUCUUCAUGGCAUUAAGUUGCCGAGUUGACAGUUUCCAUCAUUUACUGUGAAAAAAUUAGAGUGUUCAAAGCAGGCUUAUGCCAUUGAAUAUAUUAGCAUGGAAUAAUAAGAUAGGACUUUGGUACUAUUUUGUUGGUUUGCGCACCAGAGUAAUGAUAAAUAGGGACAGUUGGGGGUAUUCGUAUUCAAUUGUCAGAGGUGAAAUUCUUGGAUUUAUGGAAGACGAACUACUGCGAAAGCAUUUACCAAGGAUGUUUUCAUUAAUCAAGAACGAAAG
rnacentral:rRNA from 1 species